GACGAACGCUGGCGGCGUGCCUAAUACAUGCAAGUCGAGCGCAGGAAACUGACGGAACUCUUCGGAGGGAAGGCAGCGGAAUGAGCGGCGGACGGGUGAGUAACACGUAAGGAACCUGCCUCAAGGAUUGGGAUAACUCCGAGAAAUCGGAGCUAAUACCGGAUAGUUCAUCGGACCGCAUGGUCCGUUGAUGAAAGGCGCUCCGGCGUCACCUUGAGAUGGCCUUGCGGUGCAUUAGCUAGUUGGUGGGGUAACGGCCCACCAAGGCGACGAUGCAUAGCCGACCGGAGCGGGUGAUCGGCCACACUGGGACGGAGACACGGCCCAGACGCCUACGGGAGGCAGCAGUCGGGAAUCUUCCACAAUGGACGAAAGUCUGAUGGGGCAACGCCGCGUGAGUGAUGAAGGUUUUCGGAUCGUAAAACUCUGUUGUAAGGGAAGAACACGUACGAGAGGGAAUGCUCGUACCUUGGCGGUACCUUACGAGAAAGCCACGGCUAACUACGUGCCAGCCGCCGCAGUAAUAC
rnacentral:rRNA from 1 species